AUUAUUUCCUCCUAACCGAGGGAUAGAUCGACGUCUUCGCUGCGGUAUGGAAACCUUCCGUUUCGCUAAGUAAAGUUUGUGGAAAUAAGAUAAGUUUACUACUCAUCUUUAAUGCGUUUGCUCUUGCUUCUUGAAAAGCUCACGAUAGCAAAUAUCGGAGAAUGAAAAAUGUCAAUGUUACAGCAUUACAGCAGUUUCAGAACGGUACUUGAAGAUAACUUCUGAAUGUUGAAUGGUUUGUCGGUUUCUCACGGACUUGUGCGGCGGAAAACGAAGCCAUGGGAUCCGAGUCUAAGUUGAGGAAGACACCCCCACGGUUGCCAUAUUUCACCCCGAAAGCAAGAGAGAACAAACCUGCGUCGGAUCUAGUGAAAACGAAAUCACCAUCAAAAUUUUCAUGGAAUCGUAUUACUAGUAACAUUCGGAGAUCCUUCACAGGUUCCGGAUCACUACCUCGAAGCGAGUCACUUUGUUCGAACAACUCUUUCAACUCCAUGUGCUCCAGCACUGGGAAACUCGUCAGUUCUUCAACCAAAGGUACAGUACGUUGCUUAAUGUUAUGAAUACAUUUUAAGGUAAGGAACCCGAGGAGCGUCUUCCUGCACUGCCGUGCACUGAAAAAAAUUCUCGGCGUUUUUACCAAGGUCCGUUGGUACCUUUACCAUCUCACUUUUUUUACCAAUUAUUGGUAAUUUUACCAAGACAGACUGGUAAGCUUACCGAAAAACCGGUAUUUUUACUGUUUUUUCCGGUAAGAAUACCACUUUUAUUGGUAAUCAAUUCCCGGUAACUUUGCCAUUUUUUCUCGGUAAUUCUACCACAGUCGAUAAAAAAUAUUAGCGUUUUUACCAAGAUCUAGUAAAAUUACUGAGAAAGUUCAAUAAUUUUACCGAGAUUUCUCUGUAAAAUUACCAAUUCCAUAAAUGGUAAUUUUACCAAGAAAAAACUGGGAUCAAAUAGAACCCUGAAUUCUUGGUAAUUUUACCCUUUUCUUAGUAAAUACACCGAUAUUUUUUUUUUCAGUGUGAUAGCGAAGAGAGCCGUAAGUGCAAAAUUUUCGAAAUCGAGUUUUCUUCAAAAUUAGUCAUAAACUCUUUUAGAUGAAAUUACCGAGACAUUAAAACUACAAAAUUCAUCCUAAUUUAAUGAAAACGAGACGUAU
rnacentral:lncRNA from 1 species